rnacentral:rRNA from 1 species
GCAGCCUGAUGCAGCCNUGCCGCGUGUGUGAAGAAGGCCUUCGGGUUGUAAAGCACUUUCAGUCAGGAGGAAAGGUUAGUCGUUAAUACCGGCUAGCUGUGACGUUACUGACAGAAGAAGCACCGGCUAACUCCGUGCCAGCAGCCGCGGUAAUACGGAGGGUGCGAGCGUUAAUCGGAAUUACUGGGCGUAAAGCGUACGCAGGCGGUUUGUUAAGCGAGAUGUGAAAGCCCCGGGCUCAACCUGGGAACUGCAUUUCGAACUGGCAAACUAGAGUGUGAUAGAGGGUGGUAGAAUUUCAGGUGUAGCGGUGAAAUGCGUAGAGAUCUGAAGGAAUACCGAUGGCGAAGGCAGCCACCUGGGUCAACACUGACGCUCAUGUACGAAAGCGUGGGGAGCAAACAGGAUUAGAUACCCUGGGUAGU